GGUGCCGUAGGCAAAUUGGUAAAGCCGUCGAUCUUUCAAGUCGAUGGAAAGCGGGUUCAACUCCCGUCGGCACUG
rnacentral:tRNA from 1 species